GACGAGGGAUCCUAGCGUUGUUCGGAAUCAUUGGGCGUAAAGCGGGUGUAGGCGGCUUUAUAAGUCAGAUGUGAAAGCCCUGGGCUCAACCCGGGAAGUGCAUUUGAUACUGUAGAGCUUGAGUGUGGGAGAGGCUAGUGGAAUUCCUGGUGUAGUGGUGAAAUACGUAGAUAUCAGGAGGAACAUCGGUGGCGAAGGCGGCUAGCUGGCCCAACACUGACGCUGAGAUCCGAAAGCGUGGGGAUCAAAC
rnacentral:rRNA from 1 species